UUAGGAAUCUUCCACAAUGGGCGAAAGCCUGAUGGAGCGACGCCGCGUGAGGGAUGAAGGCCUUAGGGUUGUAAACCUCUAAAAGAGGGACGAUAAUGACGGUACCUCUUGAAUAGCACCGGCUAACUCCGUGACAGCAGCCGCGGUAAUACGGAGGGUGCAAGCGUUAUCCGGAAUCACUGGGCGUAAAGGGCGCGUAGGCGGUCUGUUAAGUCCGAUGUUAAAUCCCGGGGCUCAACCCCGGAUAAGCGUUGGAUACUGGCAGGCUAGACGGUUGGAGAGGCGAGUGGAAUUACCAGUGUAGCGGUGGAAUGCGUAGAUACUGGUAGGAACACCCAUUGCGAAGGCAGCUCGCUGGACAACACGUGACGCUGAGGCGCGAAAGUGUGGGGAGCAAACC
rnacentral:rRNA from 1 species